CCAUCAUCUCGACUGGGCCUGUGGCCCCAGCGGGAGAUGCCUAGGGCCGUGCCCAUCGACCAGGGCAGGGGGUGCCUACUAUGACAUGGACGAGUACACCAAACUGAUGUGAGCCGCCGCCAAUCCUAGCCCGUCGCCAAGCUCGUGAUGCUGGAGUGCUCCGCCCAAGUGUCUGAUCUAGGGGCCAAUUGGAAGGUAAGAUGUCUGCUCUUCGAUUAUGCGAUUAUUUCGUUUUCCUGUAUAUUCGAAAAUAUGGACUUGAAUUCUCUUAUGUUAUGAUUCAGGCCAGUUUUGAAAUAGUAAGGUUGACCGUAUCUAUUAUUUUCAAAGAAAAUAUAUGCUACAAAGAUUCAUAAGAAACUCUCUCGUGAGAGAUCUACCAUUAGGAAUAUUUCCAUAUGUUUACUUCUAAUUCAUUAGCAUGUCCUUUUUUUAGUUCAUUGCUGCCUCCUUUUCUUUAUGUUAGCCUUAUGAUGCUUGUGGUGAAUUGCAUUUCACAUGGCUAGAUAAACUAAGAUUAAAAAGGAAAACACGGUAUUCUUUGACAUAAGAGCAUGAUACCUUGGGUUCAUUUGUGCAGACCAAGAACAAAAAACUACUUAUGUUGCAAUAGUUUCAGUGGAAGGUAGUUAGGUAUUUAUUUCAUUGUUUUUAAGGCAUCCUGCCUUAGACGCUUAGGCGAUAAGGCGCCCUGGCAACGCCUUACAAAUAUGCCCGCCUUAAGCGCUUAGGCGUCCACCUUAGGCGCUUAGGCGUCGCCUAGGCGCUAAGGCGGGUGGUGCUCGCCUUAGGACGCCUUACCGCCUUAAAAACAAUGAUUUAUUUCACUAUGCUGGGGAAUAUGCCUAUUUAUAGGAUAUUGCGGUGAGGUACUGCCACAGCUAAGUAUCAAAUAUGCAUUAUGUUCGGAUAAGCCUUCCCAAAACGUAGAUCACUUUACAGGGAUCGUUGCUUCUUUAUUUGUAUUGUACCACAUCUUCCUUAUAAAGAAUACAUUGCAUGCCUUGCAGGACAGGUUUCCUUCUUCACUUUACCAGACUUCAAAUGUACUAUCUAGCAGACUAGCACGUGUGCAUAUGAUGACUCCUUUUAUCUUUGAUGAAGGUAUUGGGAUUUCUUUAGGGGAAAUUGUAACAAUGUUGUUUGAAAUGGUAAGGAAAAUGGUGCUUUUUUCCAUUGUCAUGUUUAACCGAAGUUCUGUUCUAUUGUCAUAUUCAAAACUAUGGUUCCUUGUUUGCAGUAUCUUGAAGUGAGCAGAAUUUGUAUACUUGUUUUAUAAGAGAUCUCUUUGUCUAGAACUUGUGAUAUAUGGCUGAUGUCAAUUUCAUCUUUUUAGGUGCUUCUCAAUUAUAGGUGGAAAGCCUGGCAUGGAGGCACAUAGGCUGCUGAUUAUGUUUCUGGAUUGGCCCUUGAGAAGGAGACCAAAGCAAACUUCAGCAGGUAUCAGUUGUGCAUCCUCUAUUCCUUGUGUUUGUCUUCCUAGCUGACCUUGAGCAUCUCUCCAAAAAAAAACCCUGACCUUGAGCAUUGUACAUUUUGGUAAAUAUAGUUAGUUACUUAGUUUACUAGCAGUUGCGAUAGUCAGACCACUUACAUGCUUAGCUGCCAUUUAGUAAUCAGUAAGAACUAAUUUGUGAAAAUUAGGCCUGAAGUAAUUGUGCUUCCCUGUUUUGUGCGCAUAAAUACUUAUGGUUACGUAUUGUGACCAAAUGAAGUAAACUUAUACAAGAUGCUUCUUCAUUGUUUCGCUUGUGGAAACUAAACUGCUGCUGUGUUAAUACAUAUGGCCUUAUUUAAAGGCUUGUGGUUGGUCACCAUUGUUGUGCAGUAAUUUCUUGCCGAAGCACCGGUCCAAAUUUAUUAUUGGUUUUACUGGCGCUGCAUGUAAGCGGGAUCUACUAAUUGUUCUGUUUGCUUUGCUUCGUGAGUUCUUACCCAUAUACCUCUUUGAUGAUUUUGCCUCCCUAUGUUUGACCUGGUCUUUUUUCGAAGUUUGUCAUGGUUUUUAUGGUAGUGUGACAUGACUAACAGCUUAUAAUUAUCUGUCUAUUCCACCCAAUGUGUGUGCUAUGAUAUUCUAUAAGGCUAGGCACACCCUAAGUUGGUUAAUGCUUUUGAGCUAGCUUGUUAUGAGAUAAUGAAACAAUAGUUUUUAUUUGCUCACUAGCAAGAUGAUGAUGUCAAACAAAUGACUAUUUGGCAUUUGUCCCUUUGAGGGUUUCUACCAUUUAACUGUAUUGUUGUUUCCCAUAAUAGAAUAUUUGCUAAUAAUUAGACUACCUUGUGAUUGUUAUUCCUGUGGGUAAAGAAAUAUAUGAUUGUUCAUGUACGCAUAGCUUGAGUAAAAGCACAUGACUUGUCUUCUGGAUUGGUAGCUAACAUUGAGAUACUUAUGUUUGUCGAUGCCUUCCCUUUUUGCAGUAACAUCCAUGCUUCCAGCGUAUGUUCAACAUCAGAAUUUUCUUGGCUGUUUGUUGUAGUUUCUUUUCUGGUUUUGGAAAAUUCUGCAGCUAUAUUUAUUGUAGAACAACAUACUUGUCUUCUGGAUUGGUAGCUAAAAUUGAGAUAAUUACGCUUGUCGAUGCCUUCCUUUUUUUCAAUAACAUCCAUGCUUCCAGUGUAUGUAGAACAUCAGAUUUUUCUUGGUUGCUUGUCGUAGUUUGUUUUUAGGUUUGGAAAAUUCUGCAGCUAUAUUUAUUUAAAGAUGUUGCCUUAAGUGAGCAUGUGCAAUAUCCGCUUCUUUAUGUUGUGUGCCGACAAGUUCCUCUAUUUUAGAUGGUUCUGUCUUUUCACUUUUGAAAAAGCUGACUAUAAAUCCUCGUAGGUGCCAUAGUCCAUAGUGGAAGAUGUUCUCAGGCUAGCACCUGGUUUAGAAUUUUGCAAUUCACAUCAAAUUUCUUCCAACAAGACAUGCUGAUUAGAUUCAGGAAUAUGUUGCUACGUCUCAGCUUUUCAGCUUCAUGUUGUAGGAUUAAUAUUAGGCACCUGACAUGAGGUUGAGAAAUACCAUGCUUUAAUUACUCAUGACAUACCUUGUGCAGGGCACAUAAAAUAUAUCUGAUAUCUCUUUUUUGCUAUGUAUAUUUUUGUCCUCUCUACUCUAAUUUAGUAGCACCAUUUUUUGAUGUUAUUUCUCUAUAUGAUUGUUGCUUCCACUAUCUCAAAUAUAUCUGAAAUGAAUUUGAAUUAGGUUACUUUAGUAUCAAGGUAAAAUUUGUUUGUUGUCCAGAAGCGCCAAAAUCCUAGGUGAUAAUAAUUUUGUGCUUGACUGUUGUUGACGGCCAGUAAAUUUGUAGGAGUGUGUUCGAUAGAAUUGGCAAUGGGAUCGGGAGGUGGUGUCCAAGAAUUAUGUGGUUUGAUGGCACUAGGGGCAGGAGUGCUGAUUUAAUCAGACUAAGAAGAUGCCUAAAUAAGCUGUGAGGCUGCCUAUAUAUAAUUGUAUUUCUAAGUCAUUGUACUAUAUGUAAACCAAUUUAAGUCAUUCUACCAUCUGUAAUACAAUCCACAUUGCAUUAUCUUUCCAUCGAUAUCUCCUACUUACUCACUACUAACAUUGCUUCUAAUUGGCUUCUUGCGCCAUUGGCGCAACCGGG
rnacentral:lncRNA from 1 species